GAUGAACGCUAGCGGCAGGCUUAACACAUGCAAGUCGAGGGGCAGCAUGAGGGUUAGCAAUAACCCUUGAUGGCGACCGGCGCAAGGGUGCGUAACGCGUGAGCAACUUGCCCGUUUCAGGGGGAUAACCGGUGGAAACGCCGACUAAUACCCCAUAGCAUCACAAGGAGGCAUCUCCAUGUGAUUAAAGAAUUUCGGAAACGGAUAGGCUCGCGUGACAUUAGCUAGAUGGCGGGGUAACGGCCCACCAUGGCGACGAUGUCUAGGGGUUCUGAGAGGAAGGUCCCCCANACUGGAACUGAGACACGGUCCAGACUCCUACGGGAGGCAGCAGUGAGGAAUAUUGGUCAAUGGUCAGACGACUGAACCAGCCAUGCCGCGUGAAGGUCACGGCCCUAUGGGUCUUAAACUCUUUGCAGGGACAUAAGAGCUACGUGUAGCUUGAUGAGAGUACCUUGCGAAUAAGCAUCGGCUAACUCCGUGCCA
rnacentral:rRNA from 1 species